rnacentral:tRNA from 1 species
GGGCACGUAGCUCAGUCCGGAUAGAGCGUCGGACUUCUAAUCCGACGGUCGCUGGGUCGAAUCCGACCUGCCCG